rnacentral:rRNA from 1 species
CGGGGUAACGGCCCACCAAGGCGACGAUCAGUAGCCGGCCUGAGAGGGUGACCGGCCACAUUGGGACUGAGACACGGCCCAAACUCCUACGGGAGGCAGCAGUGGGGAAUAUUGCACAAUGGGGGAAACCCUGAUGCAGCAACGCCGCGUGAGCGAAGAAGUAUUUCGGUAUGUAAAGCUCUAUCAGCAGGGAAGAAAGUGACGGUACCUGAGUAAGAAGCCCCGGCUAACUAC